rnacentral:rRNA from 1 species
GAAUCUGUCCAUCGGUCGGGUGUCCGUACUGGUGUGGUGGGUUCUUACCUUCUGAAUAACCAGCAUGCCAUUCACUUGGUGCGCUGGGGAAGCAGGACUAUUACCUUGAAAAAAUUAGAGUGCUCAAAGCAGGCUAGUGCCUGAAUAUAUUAGCAUGGAAUAAUAAAAUAGGACGUGCGGUUCUAUUUUGUUGGUUUCUAGAGUCGCCGUA